UUCGGCGUCGAGCGGCGGACGGGUGAGUAAUGCUUGGGAAUAUGCCUUUAGGUGGGGGACAACAGUUGGAAACGACUGCUAAUACCGCAUAAUGUCUACGGACCAAAGUGGGGGACCUUCGGGCCUCACGCCUAAAGAUUAGCCCAAGUGGGAUUAGCUAGUUGGUUGAGGUAAAGGCUCACCAAGGCAACGAUCCCUAGCUGGUUUGAGAGGAUGAUCAGCCACACUGGAACUGAGACACGGUCCAGACUCCUACGGGAGGCAGCAGUGGGGAAUAUUGCACAAUGGGCGCAAGCCUGAUGCAGCCAUGCCGCGUGUGUGAAGAAGGCCCUAGGGUUGUAAAGCACUUUCAGUAAGGAGGAAAGGUUAGUAGUUAAUACUUGCUAGCUGUGACGUUACUUACAGAAGAAGCACCGGCUAACUUCGUGCCAGCAGCCGCGGUAAUACGAGGGGUGCAAGCGUUAAUCGGAAUUACUGGGCGUAAAGCGUACGCAGGCGGUUUGUUAAGCGAGAUGUGAAAGCCCCGGGCUCAACCUGGGAACUGCAUUUCGAACUGGCAGACUAGAGUAUGAUAGAGGGUGGUAGAAUUUCAGGUGUAGCGGUGAAAUGCGUAGAGAUCUGAAGGAAUACCGAUGGCGAAGGCAGCCACCUGGGUCAAUACUGACGCUCAUGUACGAAAGCGUGGGGAGCAAACGGGAUUAGAUACCCCGGUAGUCCACGCCGUAAACGAUGUCUACUAGGAGCUGGAAUCUUCGGAUGACUUUUCCAAAGCUAACGCAUUAAGUAGACCGCCUGGGGAGUACGGCCGCAAGGUUAAAACUCAAAUGAAUUGACGGGGCC
rnacentral:rRNA from 1 species